rnacentral:rRNA from 1 species
UACGUAGGGGGCUAGCGUUGUCCGGAAUCAUUGGGCGUAAAGCGCGUGUAGGCGGUUCGGUAAGUCCGCUGUGAAAGUCGGGGGCUCAACCCUCGGAAGCCGGUGGAUACUGUCGAGCUAGAGUACGGAAGAGGCGAGUGGAAUUCCCGGUGUAGCGGUGAAAUGCGCAGAUAUCGGGAGGAACACCAAUUGCGAAGGCAGCUCGCUGGGACGUCACUGACGCUGAGACGCGAAAGCGUGGGGAGCAAACAGG